UACGGAGGGUGCAAGCGUUAUCCGGAUUCACUGGGUUUAAAGGGUGCGUAGGAGGGCAGGUAAGUCAGUGGUGAAAUCUUCGAGCUUAACUCGGAAACUGCCGUUGAUACUAUCUGUCUUGAAUACCGUGGAGAUGAGCGGAAUAUGUCAUGUAGCGGUGAAAUGCUUAGAUAUGACAUAGAACACCAAUUGCGAAGGCAGCUCGUUACACGAAUAUUGACUCUGAGGCUCGAAAUCGUGGGGAUCAAACAGG
rnacentral:rRNA from 1 species